rnacentral:rRNA from 1 species
GCUGGAGGCUGCUGCUUUUUGGUUUGAGCUUACCCAUGCAAGUUUUUUCAUUGUCGUAAGGUAAUGGAAAGCGAACUGCUCAGUAACACGUAACUAACCUACCCUUAGGUAAAGGAUAACCUCGGGAAACUGAGACUAAUACUUUAUAGGAGAUAAGGCCUGGAACGGUUAUUCUCUGAAAUUCGGGCCUAAGGAUGGGGUUGCGGCUGAUUAGCUAGUUGGUAGUGUAAAGGACCACCAAGGCGAUGAUCAGUACGGGCUCUUAGAGGAGUCGCCCGGAGAAGGAAUCUGAGACACUAUUCCUAGCUCUACGGAGUGCAGCAGGGGUGAAUCUUUUGCAAUGUACGCAAGUAUGACAAAGCGAACCAAAGUGCUUUUCAUUUAUGAAAAGCUUUUGUUCAUUCUAAAAAGAUGGACGAAUAAGGAGUGGGAAAGACCGGUGCCAGCCGCCGCGGUAAUACCGGCAGUUCUAGUGGCAGCCAGCUUUAUUGGGUCUAAAACAUCCGUAGCUUGCUCGUUAAGUUCCUUGUGAAAUCCCAUGUCUCAAGCAUGGGGCUUGCGGGGAAUACUGGCGAGCUAGAGAUCGGUAGGCGUAAGAAGUACAAUCAAGGUAGUGGUUAAAUACGUUAAUCUUGGUUGGACUAACAAUGAGCGAAGGCAUCUUACGAGAACGAAUCUGACAGUGAGGGAUGAAGGCCAGGGGCGCAAAACGGAUUAGAUACCCGUGUAGUCCUGGCAGUAAACACUGCUCACUAAACAUUGGGACCUCUUCGGGAGGUUUCAGUGCUGAAGCGAAGGCGAAGAGUGAGCUACCUGGGAAGUAUAGUCGCAAGAUCGAAACUUAAAGGAAUUGGCGGGGAGGCAUACAACGAGUGACGCGUGCGGUUCAAUUAGAUUCUACACCGUGAACCUCACCAGGAGCGACAGCAGUAUGAAGGUCAGUCUAAAGGGCUUACCUGACACGCUGAGCGGAGAUGCAUGGCCGACGUCAGCCUGUGCUGUGAAGUGACCUGUUAAAUCAGGUAACAGGCGAGACCCGCGUGCAUAAUUACUACAGAAAUGAGUACAUUAUGCAGACUGCCCGGGUAACCGGGAGGAAGGUGCGGGCUACGUUAGGUGAGUACGUCCCUAAUCCCCUGGGCUACACGCGCGCGGCAAUGGUAGAUUAAAUGAGAUGCGACUCCGAAAGGAGAAGCUAAUCCCCUAAUAUCUAUCUCAGUCUAGAUUGAGGGUUGCAACCCACCCUCAUGACAUCGGAAUUCGUAGUAAUCGGGUAUUAGCACUGUCCGGUGAAUAAGUCCCUGCCUCUUGCACACACCGCCCGUCAAACCAACCGAGUUAUGCAGAGUUGAGAUUCGUAUGAAAAGAAAUUUUGUAUGAUGAGGUAGGUUAAGUCGUCACAAGGU